GUGCUUGCUUUGGCAGCACAUAUACUAAAAUUGGAAUGGUACAUAGAAGAUCAGCAUGGCCCCUGUGCAAGGAUGACACGCAAAUUCGUGAAGUGUACCAUAUUAAA
ensembl:snRNA U6 U6 spliceosomal RNA